rnacentral:rRNA from 1 species
AGCAGCCACAGUAAUUCCAGCUCCAAUAGCAUAUAUUAAAGUUGUUGCAGUUAAAAAGCUCGUAGUUAAAUUUCGGGGUCAGCAGGUUGGUCGUGCCACUGGUAUGCAUUGGCCUUGGUAAUUCCUCCUUCUUGAAGAACCGUGAUGCCAUUCAGUUGGUGUUGCGGGGACACAGAACUGUUACUUUAAAAAAUUAGAGUGUUUAAAGCAGGCGCACGCCUGAAUACAUUAGCAUGGAAUAAUGAAAUAGGACAAUUGAUCCUAUUUUGUUGGUUUCUAGGGUUGAUGUAAUGAUUAAUAGGGAUAGUUGGGGGCAUUAGUAUUCAAUUAUCAGAGGUGAAAAUUUUGGAUUUAUUGAAGACUAACUACUGCGAAAGCAUUUGCCAAGGAUGUUUUCAUUAAUCAAGAACGAAAGUUAGGGGAUCAAAGGCGAUCAGAUACCGUCAUAGUUUUAACCAUAAACUAUGCCGACUAGGGAUCGGAUGAUGUUAAUUUUUAAUGACUCAUUCGACG